rnacentral:rRNA from 1 species
AUGGCAGCUCCGGCUCUCAGCUUGAUUUUGUGUAUGCUCCUGCUCUCGCACGGCUCGGCGCAGGCCAGGAAGACGGUGCCCGGCGAGGUGGUGGCCGUGGCAGAUCGGGAUGGAGCGUCGGGCAGGGAGAGGUUCUUGGGUGGUGUUGUUGACGGAGCCGCGGGUGGCUCCCGGCGCCGGCGGGAGCUCCUUGCGGGAGCGGGGGCGACGACGACGCGUGACGUGUUCGCGCCGGUGACCAACCCGGUGACGGUGCCGGCGACCAACCCGGCGUCCCCGGGCGGCAUCGUCACCGUGCCGGCGACCAACCCGGGCACGGGCACCGGGUUCCCCAUCAACCCCAACCUCCCGCCGCUGUACCCGGAGCCGUCGGCCACGCCCGACCCAACGACGAUGCCGGCGCCGUUCACGAACCCGGUCGCCGCGCCGACCAUGCCGGCGCCGUUCACCGGCCCGGUCACCAACCCGGCCACGACGCCGACGCCGGUGCCCGGCACGUCGCCAAUCACCAACCCGGCCACGACGUACCCGGGCGGGGCUGCCGGUGGCGGCGUCGCCGUCGGGAGCGUGCCGACGACCCCGGUGUACCAGGCGCCGGCGACGACGGUGCCGACGCCGACCACGGUGCAGCCGGCGGCGGGGGCCGGGACAGGGCAGUCCACGUGGUGCGUGGCCAAGGCGGGGGUGACGGAGGCGGCGCUGCAGGACGGGCUGGACUACGCGUGCGGCAUGGGCGGCGCCGACUGCUCGGCGCUGCAGCCCAUGGGCAGCUGCUACAACCCCAACACGAUCCAGGCGCAUGCCUCCUACGCCUUCAACGCCUACUACCAGCGCAGCCCCUCGCCGGCCAGCUGCGACUUCGGCGGCGCCGGCAUGCUCGUCGCCACCAACCCAAGUUCAGGAGCUUGCAUGUACCAGACAUCAGCAGGUUCAGGUUCUGCCGCCGGCUACAGCCCGGCGGCGACAGGCACCACCUUCGGGCCGGUGGGCGUGACGCCGAGCUUCGGGCCAGUGGGCACCACGACGGGGACAGGACCGGCGGUCAGCAGUGGAGGGUCGGGCUCGACGGUGCUGAAUGCGAACAACUACCCCGGCGGGACCUCGAUGUACGGCCCGGGCAACCCGGCGGGCUUCUCCGACACCAGCAGCGGCGCCGCCCUUAACUGCAGCUGGGUUCUGUCUCUGAUCUGGAUGUUCACCUUUGCUUAUGUCAAGGUGAAGGUGUAG